UACGUAGGGGGCUAGCGUUAUCCGGAAUUACUGGGCGUAAAGGGUGCGUAGGUGGUUUCUUAAGUCAGAGGUGAAAGGCUACGGCUCAACCGUAGUAAGCCUUUGAAACUGGGGAACUUGAGUGCAGGAGAGGAGAGUGGAAUUCCUAGUGUAGCGGUGAAAUGCGCAGAUAUUAGGAGGAACACCAGUUGCGAAGGCGGCUCUCUGGACUGUAACUGACACUGAGGCACGAAAGCGUGGGGAGCAAACAGG
rnacentral:rRNA from 1 species